rnacentral:rRNA from 1 species
AAGUGACGGUACCUGCAGAAGAAAAGGCCGCACCGGCUAACUACGUGCCAGCAGCCGCGGUAAUACGUAGGGUGCGAGCGUUAUCCGGAAUUAUUGGGCGUAAAGAGCUCGUAGGCGGUUUGUCGCGUCUGUCGUGAAAGUCCGGGGCUUAACCCCGGAUCUGCGGUGGGUACGGGCAGACUAGAGUGCAGUAGGGGAGACUGGAAUUCCUGGUGUAGCGGUGGAAUGCGCAGAUAUCAGGAGGAACACCGAUGGCGAAGGCAGGUCUCUGGGCUGUAACUGACGCUGAGGAGCGAAAGCAUGGGGAGCGAACAGGAUUAGAUACCCUGGUAGUCCAUGCCGUAAAUUUUCCCCGUUGGGCACUAGGUGUGGGGACCAUUCCACGGUUUCCGCGCCGCAGCUAACGCAUUAAGUGCCCCGCCUGGGGAGUACGGCCGCAAGGCUAAAACUCAAAGGAAUUGACGGGGGCCCGCACAAGCGGCGGAGCAUGCGGAUUAAUUCGAUGCAACGCGAAGAACCUUACCAAGGCUUGACAUGUUCCCGAUCGCCGUAGAGAUACGAUUUCCCCUUUGGGGCGGGUUCACAGGUGGUGCAUGGUUGUCGUCAGCUCGUGUCGUGAGAUGUUGGGUUAAGUCCCGCAACGAGCGCAACCCUCGUUCCAUGUUGCCAGCACGUAAUGGUGGGGACUCAUGGGAGACUGCCGGGGUAUAUAUCCGUAGGAGGAAGGUGAGGACGACGUCAAAUCAUCAUGCCCCAUCAUUUAUGUCUUGGGCUUCACGCAUGCUACAAUGGCCGGUACAAUGGGUUGCGAUACUGUGAGGUGGAGCUAAUCCCAAAAAGCCGGUCUCAGUUCGGAUUGGGGUCUGCAACUCGACCCCAUGAAGUCGGAGUCGCUAGUAAUCGCAGAUCAGCAACGCUGCGGUGAAUACGUUCCCGGGCC